rnacentral:tRNA from 1 species
GACAACAUGGCCGAGUGGUUAUGGCGCCUGGUGAGUUAUAAUUUUCUUACAGGUCUGCCAACAUACUAACCAUGCCUUAGACUUAAGCAUCACUAUUCUUAGUGACGAUUUCAGGUCCCGAGAGGGUCGAGGGUUCGAACCCCUCUGUUGUCA